UACGUAGGGACCAAGCGUUGUUCGGAUUUACUGGGCGUAAAGGGCGCGUAGGCGGCAACUCAAGUCAGCUGUGAAAUCUCCGGGCUUAACUCGGAGCGGCCAAGUGAUACUGUCGUGCUAGAGUGCGGAAGGGGCUACUGGAAUUCUCGGUGUAGCGGUGAAAUGCGUAGAUAUCGAGAGGAACACCUGCGGCGAAGGCGGGUAGCUGGGCCGACACUGACGCUGAGGCGCGAAAGCUAGGGGAGCGAACGGG
rnacentral:rRNA from 1 species